rnacentral:lncRNA from 1 species
UAUUCAAAAUAAAUAAAAUAAUGAAUGUUGAUUUGUAUUUUUUUAUAUAAUGUAUAUGACUUAAAAUAAACAUAGCCUUGAAUGUUUUUCUAUCUAAACAAUAUAAGCUCAACAAUAUCCAUUCAUCUAAGAGAAGUUUAGCAUACAAAUAUCAAUAAUAAAGAUUAAAAAACGGCCAAUAUCAUCAUUGACCAAUGAAAGAUAUCAACUUGCAAAACAAUUAAAAAAGAAAUCGAAUCAAAAUUUCCAAAAUACCUUCAAGGUGAACUCUUUCAUCCUUGCUUGAAAAAUAUUUACAGCAAAUUGAGCAAUGAAUGCUACCACCAAAGAUAACCUAUCAAUCUCCUGCAUCAAACACAAAUUCAUAUUUUGAAAAGUUUCAUUUGAGGAAAUCCAAUUCAUUGACAAUCUAUUGAAAAAUUUUCAUGUUAAUAGAUACAACAAAGUCAAAAUCUUAUGGGUUUUAUCUUUAAAAUAAUGGUAAAAAUUUAAAAAAAAAAAAAGCAACAAAAUAUAUUAUAAGAAAAUAUAAUGAUUUUGUUAUUUUACAGGUUUAUAUUAGAUAACUUUAGAAAUUAAAUUUUUCCAUAAAGGACAUAAUAAAAUAAAGAUUCAUUAAUAUAUGAUAAAUUUAAAAAAUACAGUAUUGAAAUGAGACUUAAAUCCAAAGUUACAGUUUUUCUGUUCACAAAAAUGAUAACCUGUACACAUAUUAAUGCAGAAACUUAUGCCAUGAUAAAAAUGAACCCAAGCAUCUAUUCUAUAGAUUGAACUCCCAAAUAAUUAUCACUUGAAAGAAAUUUAAAGCUUGGUACUUGAUUUGUUCACUUCAUAUUAACUAAUGGAUGACAGCAUUGGAUCCAUGCCAAGUUUGGAUCCUCCAGAAGCAUCGGUUUCAACAUGCUUCACUCUACCAAAAUAACAGAUAUGGCAUAAGAGCCUAGCCAGGAAAAUGUUAUGGCAAAUGGUUGAGCUAUCACACACAAUUACCACAUGUUUAUAUGUCCUUAUUAUGGUAACAUUCAUUCGCCUACUAUGAUUAUUGAUCUUUUCUUCUUUCACUCAACUAAAUUAUAGCUAUAUUCAUUUCCGUACCAAAAAAAAAAGCAAGUUAAGAAAACAGAUUACUGGACUGAAUCACAAAAAAGCAGGACUUUAAUCAACAAAGCCUCAUUUCAGAGUCAACCAACAUCAAUUGAUAUUUCCCUUCUUUUACAAAAAUAAUUUUUUUAUAAAGUCAUAAUUAGCCACAGUUGCAUCAAAACUUUAGCCCAAACUCUUUUGUAGUUUCUGCUAGUCCUAAUUAGCACCUAACAACACAAUCCCACCAACAUCUAUAAACCAUAUGCUCGACUAUGCCAUGUGCAUCCUAUCUCAGGCCUAGAAUGGAUAGGUUAAAUGUGAACUAUUAGAGAGGAAAGAAUGCAUACAAUAUAAGUAGCAUAUAGGAGAUGGGACAGGAUAAAAAUAAGAAAAUCUCAAAUUUGCUCAUCAGAUUAUGAUGAGAAAAGUUUAAGACAGUAUGAGAAAUUGUCAUCCAUGAAAAGGAUUGAGCAACUCACAAUGGUAAGAAUGAUCAUAUAAUUCUUCACAUGACUAUUUGAAUUAAGUAGUAAGCACAGGUAUGACAUAGGCAUAGUAAUUAAUAGCUAAUUAGAUACGCCAACUACAUGAACACGAAAUAAAAUUGAGAAGCAGGAUAGAAACCAUUUUAAUUUCAUACAUGUUAGUGUUUAUUUUUUUACUCAGCUAUUCGUUAUCCAUUAGUUAAAAGAAAUAGAGUACCAUGCUGAGGUGCUCUAGACGCAAAAAAUGCUUUCUAGAAAGUAUUGUCGGACCUUAAUCAUAGGAAACUAUUCUGUAAUAGAACCAAAAUUAUAAUUGAAAACACCAAGUCCAAUAAUAUCUAGAGCUAAGCUUGAAAACUUUGCUUCAAGGUCUAACUCAAUUGCAUCUCCUCCACGUAAAUGCUCUCCAUCUAAAAGCUUUUCAAAUUUCUGUGUUGUUCUUUCUGAACUAUCAGUGAAUACAUUGAUCAUAGCUUUCAAGUAUAAUGCAUGGAACCUAGGAGCAAUCACUGUAUGUUUUUUAAACAUAUUAAACCUUACCAAAAAUAUUAUCUGCAAAAAUUUUUUUCACAGAAACAAUUCAAGUGUCUCGUCCUCCCUCUUAAUAUUUCAAGAAUAGAUAUUACAAGAAGUGACAAAUGGAAAACCAAAUUUCAAUAAAUCAAUAAAAAUAUUUCACCCAUAAACCUUCACAUUUUCAAAUUCAGGUCCUAAGUCAAUAAAAAUAUAAAUAAAAAUUAAUAAAACCUUCACCUUUUCAAUUUCAGGUACUAAAUCAAUAAAAAUCCUAACAUCACCAAUUCAAGAAAAUGAAAAAUUAAUCAAUGAUCAUGAUAAAAAAAGUUCAAAAAAAAAACAUUACCAUACAUCACAGGUGGGUCGCUGGUAGAAAAGAAGCAAGGAGUGAGCGCUGGUGAUCUGGGUUUAAGAUCAGAAGAGUGAAAGGUAGACCAAGCAGAUGUAAACUGAUUUAGGGGGUUUUAAGAGCAUGCAUGUCAGCUACUUCAGCCGAACCUUGAAAUCUAUUAGCUUGGAAUAUGAAAAGUCAAAACAGCUCACCGUAACCAUAAUCUCAAAAAUUAAUACACUAAUUCCAUUAAAAACAAUCGAUUAAACGAUCCAAAAAGCAAUUUUUUAAUAAAUUUAAAAAGAAAAUAAUAACUUUAAAUUUAAAUAUAUACCAAGAAUAAAAGAAGAGUGAAAGAAGACAGGACGAAGAAUCCUCAAAUCCUUAGCAUAAUAAAUUUAAAAUUUCUUCCCCUUCCUGGCCGCACCCAUGCCCCACACUAUCGCAAAUCAAAUUGUUCGUGUUCGGAGGCAGAGGCGAAGAUGAAAAAGUGGUUCCGAUUGGCAGUUUCAUUGUGAUUGUCAAACCUCCUUAUAUCAUCUUCAUUCCACAGUUAAAACCUAAGCUUCCUUAUUCUUUUUCCUUUUUUCUUUCUCCUUCCCUUUUUCUCUUUUAAAUUUUUUAAUUGUUAGCUGCAGCAUCUUCUGGUUUGUUUUUCAAUCUAGAAGCUUUUCCCCUUAGUUCCGUUUCCAGCAUUUGCCUUUCAAUUUUUUUUUAAAACAUCCCUUGGUUCUGCU